CAUUCCGAAACACGCUCGUAGCUGCUGUGUAGCUUUCUCCGAUUGAUACUGUAUUCGCGCUGUAUUAGCUUUGCCUAGAUCUGGCGCCACCCGUUGUUGCUUCGUCUUCGAGAUACGACUCUGCGUGACAUUUGAGACUGCCAUAAUUGUUGUUGAACUGGCAUUCAGCUUAGCUCGGGCUCAACUUUACGGUGGUCGGCGCCGACGAUCACUUAAUGGUUACUAAUUGCCAUGUUAGAAUGGCUAUUGUGAACUGCGAAAGUCAAGCGGAACAGGGACGCCAAUCAUAGCAAAUGCUCUAUGACUUAACUGUCGAUUGUGUUCAUAGAUCGCUGUAUAAAUGUACAUGUUUGUAUAAAUGUUCAGCAAUUAGGACUCGAUGUUUCUUACUCUUGGUGUCCUGUCUUCAUGUCAGUAUUAGACGGUAUCGAGGUGUGAAGUGUUCAAUGUUGUGUUUCGUAACUUCGUUGUUUCCUUGAGUUUCGCCAAAUGACGUUUUGUGACUAACAAUGACUAUCCUCGCGAGCCGACUGUGUGCGCGGUGCUCAAACGCUUAUAGUUUGUGUGACUACGACUAUACGAUGUCGGGAUUAGAUGGAGUGGCUCAACCGCUCCUCACAGAUAUGUACCAGCUAUCAAUGGCGUAUGCUUACUGGUGCUCAGGAAAACACAGCAAACCGGCUGUAUUUGAACUGUUUUUCCGCAGUAAUCCAUUUCAGGGCGAAUUCACUGUCUUUGCAGGAUUAGCAGAUUGUGUGGAGUUUCUUAAAAAGUUCCGCUACUCCGUUUCCGAUCUGGACUAUCUUCGAAAAGAGAUGCCCACAGUGAAAAAUGAGUUCUUCGAUUAUCUUGCUCAGUUGACAGCAAAGGACGUGAAGUUGUAUUCCGUGCAGGAAGGCAGCGUCGUUUUUCCUCGGAUACCUCUUCUAAGAAUUGAGGGACCGUUAGCGCUGGUACAGCUUCUUGAGACUACCCUCCUAAAUCUGGUCAACUAUGCAUCACUUGUAGCUACAAACGCUGCAAGGUUUCGUCUUGCAGCUGGUUCAAAGACGCGACUACUCGAGUUCGGUCUACGGCGAGCCCAAGGCCCGAACGGUGGUUUGUCUGCUUCAAAGUACGCCUAUGUUGGCGGCUUUGAUGGUACUUCAAAUGUGAUGGCAGGGAAGCUUUUCAAAAUACCCGUUCGAGGUACUCAUGCCCACGCAUUUGUUAUGAGCUUCAAUCUCGAAGAUGAAAUUGAAAAUCCUACACUGCCGCAUGCCAUUACUGGCGAACAGAAAAACCUACUUGAGUUGAGUUUGAAUUGGCGAAAAGAACUGUGCGAAUCACAAAUUUUUCAGUUAUCGCAGUCGAACGAUGCCGAACUUUAUGCGUUCAUUUCGUACGCACUAGCAUUUCCUAAAAGCUUUUUGGGUCUUGUCGACACCUAUGAUGUCGUUCGAUCUGGGUUGAUCAACUUCUGUUCAGUUGCCUUGGCAUUAGAUGAAAUGGGUUAUCGAGCAGUCGGCAUUCGGCUCGACUCCGGUGAUUUGGCCUAUUUAUCCCGUGAAGCACACAUGAUAUUUCAGAAGAUCUCAGAGCGGUAUGAUCGGCCGUACUUCGUCGAUCUGACAAUUGUUGCAAGUAAUGAUAUAAACGAAGAAACGAUUAUCUCACUUAACGAACAAGGUCAUAACAUCAACUGUUUCGGGAUCGGAACGCAUCUAGUGACGUGUCAGAAGCAGCCGGCGCUUGGCUGUGUGUAUAAGUUGGUUGAAAUAGAUGCGCAGCCGUGCAUCAAGUUGAGCAACGACCUGCAAAAGGUUACCAUACCAGGUCGAAAAAAAGCUUUCAGACUCUAUGGUCGGGACGGACACCCUCUUUUAGAUCUACUGCAACUGAUCGAUGAAGAUGCACCAAUGCCCGGAGAGAAGGUAUUGUGCCGUCACCCAUUCAUCUCGACAAAACGGGCAUUCGUAUGCCCUCACAAGGUAGAAUCACUCUAUCAAUUGUAUUGGUCCGACGGUGCAGAACAGAGUCCCCUACCGGAGCUGGAAAUCGUUCGCCAACGGGUGAUGUCGCAGAUGCAUUCGCUACGCGCUGACAUCAAGCGCACACUUAAUCCCACACCUUAUAAAGUGUCUGUUACGGAGAAGCUCUAUACGUUUAUGCAUGAACUCUGGUUGAAGAACGCGCCUAUUGGCGAGCUAUCGUAAUUUGACGAAGGGCAAGGUCGUGGAUGACGGCGGACACCGUAACCAAAAUUAGUUGACACACAAAAAAUUGUCAGGUGUUCCGUGCUUCAAGGUAUCAUAUGCAAUCAAGUCUGGUAGUACGAGGUAAUACUACUCGGAUAAUUCCCAUUCAACCGCAGCCGCCGCCAACGCAGAACUGCAACUUGAAUACAGCUAUCAUGUGAGCGUACCGAUCCUGCUUGCUUGUAUUACUCCGAACAACAAUAUAUCUGAACUGUGUGUAGAUUUGUACACUUUUACCCAUAGGUGGGGUGUAUAUGUACCCAUACCUACCCUAUGGGUAGGUAUGGGUACAUAUACGCUUCAUUCCGCCAGCAACUGCAAUUGCUCGUUAGUUCAUAGCUAGAACUCACCGCUCACUUAUCACUCACUCAGAAGAUGAGUUGACAUUACGGGACAUCGUCUGCGGCAUUAUAGAUGAUGGCAACUGCAGUAACAAUAACAGAAGGGCAUAGCAAAGUGUGAACGAGGCGUCAAUGAACAAAUGGCAGCAUUUAAGUGUGAAUAUACUUGCGGAAAGACGCCGACUGCUCCGCGUAUCGUCUCGAUCGUCGUAACGUACUAUAGGGACGGUAAUCCUUGUCGCCGUUCUCUGCAUCCAUCCAACCUAUUAUACUGACACAUGAUUGACCACCAUCCUUAUAGCACGUACGCAUACUAUUUAAUAUUGAGCUAAGAUCGUUACCACCGUCCAUUCCGCUACCCAGAACCGCUGGCGACCCAACGCACUGCUACUGCUACUCGGAUGAUAGAAAGAUCUAGAUGAAUGAGCACGACACCUACAUAACGGAAACUAAAUAACUUAAAGGACUAAAAUGGCUUCGACAACACGACAGGAUCAAUCAAAGUGAGACACAUACUGCGAGUUUGGCAGGAAUUAUGUAACAAACGUACAGGGUAGGACGGUAGAUUUGAUCCAACGGGGGAUGAAAAGGUUAUCUCUGUAACAAGGUAAUGGUAGUACAGAUUAAUUGCUAGUCCAUAAGUUGUCGUUGAUGCAUGGGUAUAUUGAAGGAAUUGGUGUAAAAACAAGAAACAUGAACUAAUAGAGAAAGAAAACGUACUUUAUAAGUUGAAGUAAAUGGUAUACAAACAAUGCAGCUUUUCAUAAAACAACGUUCGACUAUAUACAAAUGGUGAACGUAUUCGUCGAGUAGAUUAUUUCGCUUUUAUAUUGAUUUUUUUCUUAUUUGUAGUAGCUGGUGAAUCAAGCAUGUAUAUAGUCUUCGACAAUAUCUGUCUCCGGCAUCUAAGGGUAGUAUGGGUGUUUUGGCGGACUGACACAGAAUGGCCUAUAAGCACUGGCAUCUAACGGCUGGGCUGUACAAGUUGCUGUGCUUUUGGGGCUCUUCGAUCUUAAUCUGUGAACAGAAGAUACAUACGCCGAAUACAUGACAAUACUUGUAGGUCCAGUGAUCCGUACGCGACAUACCAUAUAUGCAUUAUUGUCGUCUUAGGCCAGUCAUGGUGACCUUUGAAAUGAAAAUAUAUAUGUGUUUUUUUGUUCGACCAAUGUUGCGAUGGUAGAUGUUGAUAUCGGCCUAUAGGUGAUGGGAGUCAUUCAUAAUUGAGGUUAGGCUGUUGCUAUACGAGACAGGCUAACAUAACUCUAUUGCAAAAAUCGAUGAUUUCUGAUAUCACAUAACCGGUACGCCUAUAGUUCUUUGGUGACCUUUGAAAAUGUAUGCAUCGACAACUCAGGGACUGAUUGACUUUUGCCAACUAUCUACUUCUAAGUAUCCUAUAGCGAUGACGCUAGUGGACUCUGUUUCUCUCACGUUUGUUUUUCGCGGAUACCGAUGCUUUUAAAAUGCAGUAUGUUGCCGUUUAGCUCUCUGGCCUUUCUCUACAGCAUCCCUGCCAUUGUUAGUUCUCAGUGCAAACGUUGCAGGUCAAUUUCAGCCGGACAUAGUUGUUUCGAGCGGGCGUCUAAUUUUUUUCCGUUGCGCGACUACAUCUCCAUACAACACGUUUGUGGGCAUGGUACGAAGCUAGUAUCAAAAAACAUUACUUAUCGUGCGGGUUCUAAUCCCAAGGUCUAUUUAAUUUAGUACCCGCCUGGAGUUUAUGCGAGCCAUCGCUAAAAUGAAAUUCAAAGGUGCAACAACAUCUUCCUUAAACUUAUUUCUACGUGAUGCGAGCUCUUGAAAGAAACUCUUUCUAUCUAAAAAAUGUUUCGGCUUUUCGUGGCCUUCCUACAGCGUUCGAGAAACGUGCCUUUCCGAUAAUGAAAAAAGCAUUUAUGAAGUCUAUUCUUGGUAAACGCAUUUGUGUCCUUUUGUCUCUUAUGUUAAAGUGCUUUUCCUUUAGGCCGAACUAUACGAAUCUAAACGAUUAUAAUCCUAUACAGGAAGGUCUGCCGUACAAGCCUGGCGAAAGGUCAUUUUAGCAAGAAAGUUUAACAGCACGUUCCUGAUCAUUAAAGCCCCAUGGAACCAAAUGCUUCAUCGGCUACGCUCCUAGAUCUCGCUAUGGACCAAGUUUGUAUGUGAGACUCCUUAUACGGUUUAACUCGGUUCGAGCAACUACAAAAAAACUCAUCAAAACCAUUUGUUCUACCCAGCGUAGUUUUUAGCAUGCCAAGGGUUUUAUAUUUUCAACUUUCCUGGUCACAGCAUACAUUCAUCACCUUACUGUGUUUUCCAAACUCAUAAUACGGCUAGAUUUUUGUAGAACACGAAAGCCUGUAGUCCUCGAUUAUUCACUUCUGAUCACCGCCCCAAGCGUGAUUCGUCGUUUACUAGAGCUUUAAAGCGCUGGAAUCAACUUCCGGAGACGCUGUCAGAUACUGCUCCGCAUUUGCUUGCAGUGCCGUACGCUGUCUAACCGUUGUCUGUUUCAGAUGAUUAAGUACAAUAUUUAAGAAGCGAGUGACAAGUUAAAAAUUUUUCCAUCGCACGACGUGAUCGUACAAAGAUAUGCUACAAAUGAACUCUGUGGAAACGCAAGCUAUGCAACAGACAAAAAUGACCUAACGGAGGAACGUGCAUAACUUCUAAUAAAGCGACUGCUUCAAAUGUACAUACAACGAUGUUUUAGAAUUGUCGGCUACGCUCCUAGAUCUCGCUAUGGACCAAGUUUGUAUGUGAGACUCCUUAUACGGUUUAACUCGGUUCGAGCAACUACAAAAAAACUCAUCAAAACCAUUUGUUCUACCUUUGAACAUCGUUUUGGUUUUAUUAAUUACUUUUAAUGUUUUUCCUAACGUGGAAUAAUACUCUAAUGACCUGAUGAGUACGCAUAAUUGAGACUAAAAAAACAUUGAAAAAAACAUUUGAAUGUAUGCUAUCCACUGCUUACUUUCAAGUAUUGAAUCUCAAAAAAUACCAUUGUUCGAUAUACAGGCACAACCUCAGGUCAGUGGGAGGUAGGCUACUUGCAUAUAUCACCAGGCAAACCUGUUCUUCAGAGCUUAGGCAAACCUCAUUUAAUUACAGUGCCCUUAACUAUGUCACUACAACUGUGCUGACCAUGUGCGCAGGUGUCUAAUUGACCGCUAAAAGGAGUAGGUCCAGAGGGCCUAAGCGUGAAAGAAGCCCUCGGUCACAUUACCCGAAGUGUACAAUUCAAGCUAAAGUUUAAUGUACGUUCUAGUUACAUAGUACUAUUAUUAGGCAUCGCCCAGAGAAUGACGACAUUGUAAUAACUACUCUGCACUCGAGCGGAUUCAAGCGGAGCAAGUUUGCCUCUAUAUAAUUAGACAAUUGUCGUUUCUUGGAUCUCUCUUUUUGCUCUUAAACUCAUGCCCUCCUCAUUGAAAUCUACAACGCAGAGAGAGAAGGAGCAAAGAACUUGUUUGAAGGUCGGAAUGUAAACAACGUAAUGCAGAGAUAAGUGGCCAAUAAAGUUCAACAUAUAAUAGAAUAUAUAAAAAUAUUGAUUUGAAAAAACAACUGUAAAAUAUAUAAAGAACAAUGUGUCUGAAGGAACACAAACAAGAAUAAUAAAAAACAAAGAGGAAGUGCGGUUUUCUUUUACGUAUAAUGAGUAUUGUUAUUCCGAUUUAGGAAAUUUAGUAGCCACGUUUUUGUCCCUUUACCUAGAUUAAAACCUUUUACAUACGCCUACAUCCGUUUACCGUUUGUAGCGUGGCAUUUUUCUGUAAAACAACAUUAGGUACGGCACAGUCAACAGCCUGAUACUAACAAGGUUAACUUUUAUUAAGCUCUUCAGAUAUCAAUGUGACAUGGACAAUCAGUCGAACGCUGCGCAAGCUUGAUCAGAUAGACGAGCCAUAAUUGGAGACCAUAUUGUACAUCCUACAUCUAUUAGUUUUUAUGAAAGCAAUUAUUCCAUAAUAUAAAAUAAAAGGGAACCUUCGCUACAUCAGACCCGUUAUGUCUAUCAGCUUAUGUAACGAUUAAAACCAAAUAAUUUUUUAAUAGUGACAGGAUCACCACGGAAAACAGGAACCAGCAUAAGUUCUGUAUUAGCCCAUUCCCAUCCGUGCGAUUAUUUUUCACGUAUAUAUUUCGUAUGUUUCGGAGGCACACAGCUAGUGGACAUAUCAUACUUUAUCUCUUCCAAAAACAUUUAUAUUUGAUUAAUUUAUAUUAUUAGAUAAUUAAAUAUAUAAAUAUUUAUAUUAUUAAAUAGUUUAUAUAAUAGAUACAAUAACAAGGAAAACACACAUAAAUGUACAGCGAAUUUAACGCAUUUUUCACG